rnacentral:RNase_P_RNA from 1 species
AAAGCCAAGCAGCCGCGGGCAUAAGGCGAAAGCCUGUGCGUGAGGAAAGUCCGGGCUCCACAGGGCAAGGAUAACGGGUAACGCCCGCCGGGGGUGACCCCAGGACAAGUGCAACAGAGAUAUACCGCCUGCCUUCGGGCAGGUAAGGGUGGAAAGGCGAGGUAAGAGCUCACCCACCGUCCGGAGACGGAACGGUGCUGUAAACUCUAUCCGGAGCAACGCCGUGGAGGGACAUACGACCGGCCCGGUCGUCCCGAGGAGGCGGCUGGAACGCAUCGGCAACGGUGCGUCUAGAUAGAUGGCUGCGCAGACAGAACCCGGCUUACAGGCUUUCUCGC